GUCCAAAUAAAAGUUUUUAAGCCUCCCUCAAACCCUAAUAUGUACAUUUUUCUUUUUCCAGAGAUAACCCGCCGCAACCCUUAACUUUUUCAGUUUUUUCAAUCCAUCAACUCUAGAUCUCUCGCCGCCGUUAUGCAUUUUUCUACUCUUAGAGGAAAGAGGAAGAAGAUGAAGAAGAAGAAGAAGAAGGGGAGUAAAAAGCGAUGCUCUGAUGUUCUUCCUCUUCACUCAGACGACACCGACUCUCCCGUCGCUCCUCCUCCUGUUGCUCUUCAUUCAGACACGGAUGCUUCUUCAGCCGAUGCUUCUUCAGCCGAUGCUUCUUCAGCCGAUGCUAACUGUGAGCUUGUUCCAUAGUCCCCUCCUCGGAGAUUACCCAUCGCAGCGCCUCCAAAACCAUCAAAGGAGCAUGAUCCCUCCAAAAGACGUCUUGUAAAGAGAGCUUGGGAUGUGGAGAAUAAUCUUAUCCCUGCCAACAAGUCAUUAUCUCAAGCACUCGAUUAUUUGAAGCGGAAUCUCAGGCGUUGCGGGUUAGAGUUGUCUUCCAUCGAUGCAUUCGCUGUAAACUACCCGCCAAAGUUUACAGAGGUGACUCCAGACAUGAAUCUGACGCUAAAUACAGUUGAAAAGACGACAUGUAAAUAUUUACUGUUUCAUGACUAGUAAAUCGUUUUACAUGAAAUUUGUCACAGUUAAAUUUAACCCAGAUUUUACAUUAUAUAACUUUAAUUCUGAUUUUUCACAAA